GACAGAGGGUGCAAACGUUGUUCGGAAUUACUGGGCGUAAAGCGAGUGUAGGCGGUUUCGUAAGUCGGAUGUGAAAGCCCCGGGCUCAACCCGGGAAGUGCACUCGAUACUGCGAGGCUAGAGUAUCGGAGAGGUUGGUGGAAUUCUCGGUGUAGAGGUGAAAUUCGUAGAUAUCGAGAGGAACACCGGUGGCGAAGGCGGCCAACUGGACGAAUACUGACGCUGAGACUCGAAAGCGUGGGGAGCAAACAGG
rnacentral:rRNA from 1 species